rnacentral:rRNA from 1 species
GAGUUUGAUCGUGGCUCAGGAUGAACGCUGGCGGCGUGCCUAAUACAUGCAAGUCGAGCGAACGGACGAGAAGCUUGCUUCUCUGAUGUUAGCGGCGGACGGGUGAGUAACACGUGGGUAACCUACCUAUAAGACUGGGAUAACUCCGGGAAACCGGGGCUAAUACCGGAUAACACAUGAAACCGCAUGGUUUCAUGAUGAAAGACGGUCUUGCUGUCACUUAUAGAUGGAUCCGCGCUGCAUUAGCUAGUUGGUAAGGUAACGGCUUACCAAGGCAACGAUGCAUAGCCGACCUGAGAGGGUGAUCGGCCACACUGGAACUGAGACACGGUCCAGACUCCUACGGGAGGCAGCAGUAGGGAAUCUUCCGCAAUGGGCGAAAGCCUGACGGAGCAACGCCGCGUGAGUGAUGAAGGUCUUCGGAUCGUAAAACUCUGUUAUUAGGGAAGAACAUAUGUGUAAGUAACUGUGCACAUCUUGACGGUACCUAAUCAGAAAG